CCCUUAGAUGUUCUGGGCCGCACGCGCGCUACACUGACGAAUGCAACGAGCUUAUAACCUUGGCCGAAAGGUCUGGGUAAUCUCCAAAUUUCGUCGUGAUGGGGAUAGAUUAUUGCAAUUAUUAAUCUUCAACGAGGAAUGCCUAGUAAGCGCAAGUCAUCAGCUUGCGUUGAUUACGUCCCUGCCCUUUGUACACACCGCCCGUCGCUCCUACCGAUUGAAUGGUCCGGUGAAGCGUUCGGACCGUGGCCUUUCGACGGUUCGCCGUCUGUUGGCUGCGGGAAGUUCGUUAAACCUUAUCAUUUAGAGGAAGGAGAAGUCGUAACA
rnacentral:rRNA from 1 species